UACGUAGGGUGCAAGCGUUGUCCGGAAUUAUUGGGCGUAAAGGGCUCGUAGGCGGUCUGUCACGUCGGGAGUGAAAACUCAGGGCUUAACCCUGAGCCUGCUUCCGAUACGGGCAGACUAGAGGUAUGCAGGGGAGAACGGAAUUCCUGGUGUAGCGGUGAAAUGCGCAGAUAUCAGGAGGAACACCGGUGGCGAAGGCGGUUCUCUGGGCAUUACCUGAUGCUGAGGAGCGAAAGUGUGGGGAGCGAACAGG
rnacentral:rRNA from 1 species